GAGGCUUCGACAAUGACCGAAAGGUUGAUCGAGCGACGCCGCGUGCGGGAUGAAGGUCUUCGGAUUGUAAACCGCUUUUGUUUGGGAAGAAGGCCUGUAUCGUGAAUAUGGGAUUGACGGUACCAACCGAAUAAGCCCCGGCUACCUCCGUUCCAGCAGCCGCGGUAAGACGGAGGGGGCAAGCGUUGUUCGGAAUCAUUGGGCGUAAAGGGCUCGGAGGCGGACUAGCAAGUCUGACGUGAAAUCUCCACCGCUCACCGGGGAGAGGUCGUUGGAUACUACUAGUCUUGAGUUCGGUAGAGGGUCGUGGAAUUUCGGGUGUAGCGGUGGAAUGCGUAGAUAUCCGAAAGAACACCGGUGGCGAAGGCGGCGACCUGGGCCUGAACUGACGCUGAGGAGCGAAAGCUAGGGGAGCAAACGGG
rnacentral:rRNA from 1 species